AGAGUGAUGUGGGAGUGAUUUCUUAUUAAUAAAGAAACUGCCUAGGCCCCUUGAUAAGGCCCACCCUUAGGUGGGUGGAGAAAACAGGAGAAUUCUGGGAGAAGGAGUCUUGGUGGAGAGUCGCCAUGAUGCUCCCACUCCAGACAGAUGCAGGUUAAGAUCCUCUCUGGUAAGCCAGCUCGUGGGCUACACAGAAUAUUAGAAAUGGGUUAGAACAAUAUGUAAGAGCUAGCCAUAAGGAACUGGAACUAUCCGGGCCAGGCAGUGUUUGAAAGAA